GGGGGGGGGUGGGGGUGGGGGUGAGGGGGGGAGGUCGGACGGCAGCGCAGUGAGAGCUUGCUCUUACGGGUGGCGGGUGGCGGACGGGUGAGGAAUACAUCGGAAUCUACUUUUUCGUGGGGGAUAACGUAGGGAGACUUACGCUAAUACCGCAUACGACCUACGGGUGAAAGCAGGGGAUCUUCGGACCUUGCGCGAUUGAAUGAGCCGAUGUCGGAUUAGCUAGUUGGCGGGGUAAAGGCCCACCAAGGCGACGAUCCGUAGCUGGUCUGAGAGGAUGAUCAGCCACACUGGAACUGAGAGACGGUCCAGACUCCUACGGGAGGCAGCAGUGGGGAAUAUUGGACAAUGGGCGCAAGCCUGAUCCAGCCAUACCGCGUGGGUGAAGAAGGCCUUCGGGUUGUAAAGCCCUUUUGUUGGGAAAGAAAAGCAGCAGGUUAAUACCCCGCUGUUCUGACGGUACCCAAAGAAUAAGCACCGGCUAACUUCGUG
rnacentral:rRNA from 1 species